AGCGAACGCUGGCGGCAGGCCUAACACAUGCAAGUCGAACGGAUCCUUCGGGAUUAGUGGCGGACGGGUGAGUAACACGUGGGAACGUGCCCUUUGGUUCGGAGCAACCAUGGGAAACUUGAGGUAAUACCGGAUGAGCCUUUCGGGGGCAAGAUGUAGCGCCAUUGGAGCGGCCCGCGUCUGAUUAGCUAGUUGGUGAGGUAAAGGAUCACCAAGGCGACGAUCAGUAGCUGGUCUGAGAGGAUGAUCAGCCACAUUGGGACUGAGACACGGCCCAAACUCCUACGGGAGGCAGCAGUGGGGAAUCUUGCGCAAUGGGCGAAAGCCUGACGCAGCCAUGCCGCGUGAAUGAUGAAGGUCUUAGGAUUGUAAAAUUCUUUCACCGGGGACGAUAAUGACGGUACCCGGAGAAGAAGCCCCGGCUAACUUCGUGCCAGCCGCCGCAGUAA
rnacentral:rRNA from 1 species